rnacentral:rRNA from 1 species
AUGGGUGUUGUCGCUGAAAUAGAUAAACGCUGCAGAGCCUUUUUUUGGGCGGGUCAAGACAAAGUUUCGGGAGGUCAAUGCAAAGUUGCUUGGGAUUUUGUGUGUGCGCCUUUCACUCGUGGGGGACUAGGUUUCUCUUCUCUUCAACACCUCAACUCUUGCCUACGUCUCUCUCAUUUAACCAAGCUUCACUCACGCUCCACGGCUCGCGGGGUUUCUCCGUUGGCUGCUAGAUAUGGGUGGUCCGACGACCAGGACCUAGGCACUACUCAUGCUUAUGAUUCCCAUGUGUGGCGUGAUAUCGCCAAGGGGAUCCCCCUCUUUCGUAACUUAAUGCAAGUGGACGUCGGCAACGGUACCUCCACCGCCUUUUGGCUUGAUCUUUGGGUUCCGUGCUCUACAGAUAUUCUUGCUUCACAGUAUCCUGCUCUGUUCUCUCAUGUUCUCCGACCCUCGACUUCUGUUGCCAGGGUUCUAAGCUCGCCGGAUCUGUGCCUCGACCUCGCUCCACGCCUAACUCAUGCUGCUGAACUUGAACUGGGCUACCUGCGCAACUUGCUGGCUUCCGUUUCCUUGAAUUUGCAGGAACCAGACCGACGAACAGGAUGA